rnacentral:rRNA from 1 species
UACGAAGGGUGCAAGCGUUGUUCGGAUUUAUUGGGCGUAAAGCGCGCGUAGGCGGACCUGCAAGUCAGAUGUGAAAUCUCGGGGCUCAACCCCGAAACUGCGUCUGAAACUACAGGUCUAGAAUCUUGGAGGGGGUAGGGGAAUUUCGCAUGUAGGGGUAAAAUCCGUAGAUAUGCGAAGGAACACCAGAGGCGAAGGCGCCUACCUGGACAAGUAUUGACGCUGAGGCGCGAAAGCGUGGGGAUCAAACAGG